AACUUCUCUCUAGCCUCCCUAAACCCCUCCCAAGUCUACGGAACCUCCCUAGCACGAGAAGAAAGCCCCGGAACACCCGACGGCUUCAAGAAGAAAAGCUUUCGGCUUGGAAACGCUGCUCCAGCGAAGCCCGGUUUUUAAUAAAACUCGCUGUUUUGUCGAGGAAAAUUGUUUUGAGAUAACAAAGUGCUGUCUGAGUUCGGAAUCACCACCUAAUCAGGUGUUGAUAUGAAGUGACAUUACACUGAGAGAUUUAAAGAGAUGUAGAUCACUAGUGUAAAUAAUUGUAAGCUCUGUUUAUGCUUAUGUUUCUAUAUUAACGAUGACAUCCCAAACGUUUUAAAAUGAAAUAAAUAUGUUUCUUCGAAAAUGUUUUAAUAACGUAUUUACCAUGUUUUUCUGGGAACAAAUUCCGCAACAUUUUUAUAAAAUGAAGUACUCUGAUUUUUAUAAAGCAUAAACAACAUCGGUCUUUUCUGUCCGUGAAAAUGGGGAUGUCACAUCUAAUCACGUAUGAUUUAUGUAGACAUGAUUUAUUUUUGUAUUCUUGAUUCAAUAGUUGUUCUUUUACAACGUUAACCAUAUGUGAAUAUUGUACAUAUAAAUCAUAUGUGAUUAAAUACAUUUAAUCACAUUUGAUUAUGUGUAUCUAAUCACAUAUGAUUUAUGAGGACAUUGUUCGUUUUUGCUUUCUCGAUUCAAUAGUUGUUCUCAUUGUAUUUUAUCAAAUGUGAUUAUAGGUAUAAUCAUAUGUGAUUAAGUACAUGAGCACAACUAUUGAAUCGAGAAGGAAAAAGUGUAUCUUGUCCACCUUAAAUCAUAUAUGAUUAUAUACAUCUAAUCAUAUGUGAUUAAUUACACAAAAGCAAUUAUUCAGUCG